CACGUAGUUAGCCGUGGCUUUCUCUUACGGUACCGUCACGGACGGAUACUGUUGGCAUCCGUCUUUUUCGUCCCGUAUAACAGAGCUUUACAAUCCGAAGACCUUCUUCACUCACGCGGCGUUGCUCCGUCAGACUUUCGUCCAUUGCGGAAGAUUCCCCACUGCUGCCUCCCGUAGGAGUCUGGGCCGUGUCUCAGUCCCAAUGUGGCCGUUCAUCCUCUCAGACCGGCUACUGAUCAUUACCUUGUUGGGCCGUUACCCCUCCAACCAGCUAAUCAGACGCAAACCCCUCCUUCGGCGAUAGCUUUGUAUAGAGGCCAUCCUUUCUUCUUUCCGUCAUGCGACGAAAAGAUCGUAUUCGGUAUUAGCAGCCGUUUCCGGCUGUUAUCCCCAUCCGAAGGGCAGGUUGUUUACGCGUUACUCACCCGUUUGCCACUCGAUUUCAUAGGAAGCAAGCUUCCCAUGUCCUCUCGUUCGACUUGCAUGUGUUAAGCACGCCGCCAGCGUUCGUCCUGAGCCA
rnacentral:rRNA from 1 species